rfam:Leptotrichia sp. oral taxon 215 str. W9775 genomic scaffold Scaffold416, whole genome shotgun sequence.
UUUGGUGAUUAUAGCGGCAGGGAUACACCCGGUCACAUUCCGAACCCGGAAGUUAAGUCUGCCUGCGCCUAAGAUACUUGGAUUAAGUUCCAGGGAAAAUCGGUCGUCGCCAAAC